AGUUCCCCAGCCGCGGGGUGUCUCUGACCUUUUCUGGGGUCAGGUCUCCCUGAACCAGGGAGUUAUAGGUCUGACCUGCUCGUCGGUCUUGUCCUUCGCGGCCCCUUGAAGCGUGUCUUCACUCAGUCUGGCCCGGCGUUUAGCAAGGAUCUUCAGGAGGCCCUUAUUUUUGUCUCAUUGACUAGAAACGUUUCUGUUUUCCUCUUGAAGGUUAGUGACUGACUCAGGAUCACAGUUCAUUAGAGGCGAAGACUGGAAGUUGUGUGUCUUCGACUCAGAAGAGAGAACUGCUUGCUUUUCCACAUGAAGUAAAGCAAAUUACUUGAUAAAAAGACCUUUUGAGAAACGGCAAGCAGAAUAAAGACAUUAAAACAUAGCCCUUUCCUUAAAGCACUG